CUUGCAUGUAGUGUCUUUUGUAUUAUUAGUUUACAUGUGAUUAUUCAGUAUAAUCAAGUUUCUUAAUUUGUAAUAGGGAUACAAGACCAGGUAAUAAACAUGAAAAACUACAGAAAAUACAUAGUGAAGGAGAGCACAUUGACAAAUGACACUUGUAGGAAAUACCACAUAGCACUCGAAAUGAUUCAACACAUUAUGUUGGGUUGCAAGCUGCUUGAACAAACAGAUUACCUGCACAGACACAACCAAGUAGCAAACAUAAUACACAAAAUCUUGCAACCAAACAAAUUAGUAAGGACAGACCAACUAUGGCGACUUAUUUUUAAUAUUUCGAUGUAUAACUCACCACUGAUUGUGAAUAUAUAAGGUAAUAAGACAUUGAGGAUAUUGUGAAGGCAAUUUUCUUUUCAUUCUUAACCAAAAACAGCUGUUAUGGUAUUAACUAGUGUUCAGAUUUAAUAUUGCUAGCACAUACAUUACAAAUAUAUAUCAGACACAAUCUUAGAAAACAUGACACACAAGAUGUACUAUGACAGGACAAUCUUAACA
rnacentral:lncRNA from 1 species